UGAGAUAUCGACCUAUAAAUAGUAGUCGAAAGAAAGGCCAUCCUUGACACAAACUACCUACUAUUAACAACAACAAUAUACCCCCCAAAAUGAAAGCAUUAUUAGUGAUGGUAUGCAUUCUCCUGGCUUCCACUCUCUUUAUCCCUACUUCAACCAUGGCUCGACAACUGGUGGCGAAGGACAUCAAUGAUCGACCAGUGUUUAACACUCCUAGGAGGAAUAAACCUGCUGUACCAUGUGGCCGUGGAAUGCCUUAUAAAUCCUGCAUACAACCUCCCAAGAAGCAGCCCUGUAUACCCACGUAUAAUCGACACUACCAUUAAUUUCCACCUCAACCUUGAAUGUGCUGGAGAAGCUACAGGAAUAGGAUCCAUUGGCGAAUUUGUAAUGGAAUAUAUAUAAACAUAUGCAGAUAAUAAAUGAGUUGGCAAACCAGAUCAUGAAGUUGCAUUAGUUGACCAUGAUUUGUGUUCUUUUAAGGCUAUGUACUUCGUUUUGCAAUGUAGUGCGUCUGCAAUAACUAGUUCUCUUGAGCUCUUCUUCA